rnacentral:rRNA from 1 species
AAAUUGAAGAGUUUGAUCAUGGCUCAGAUUGAACGCUGGCGGCAGGCCUAACACAUGCAAGUCGAGCGGUAGAGAGAAGCUUGCUUCUCUUGAGAGCGGCGGACGGGUGAGUAAUACCUAGGAAUCUGCCUGAUAGUGGGGGAUAACGUUCGGAAACGGACGCUAAUACCGCAUACGUCCUACGGGAGAAAGCAGGGGACCUUCGGGCCUUGCGCUAUCAGAUGAGCCUAGGUCGGAUUAGCUAGUUGGUGAGGUAAUGGCUCACCAAGGCUACGAUCCGUAACUGGUCUGAGAGGAUGAUCAGUCACACUGGAACUGAGACACGGUCCAGACUCCUACGGGAGGCAGCAGUGGGGAAUAUUGGACAAUGGGCGAAAGCCUGAUCCAGCCAUGCCGCGUGUGUGAAGAAGGUCUUCGGAUUGUAAAGCACUUUAAGUUGGGAGGAAGGGCAUUAACCUAAUACGUUGGUGUCUUGACGUUACCGACAGAAUAAGCACCGGCUAACUCUGUGCCAGCAGCCGCGGUAAUACAGAGGGUGCAAGCGUUAAUCGGAAUUACUGGGCGUAAAGCGCGCGUAGGUGGUUUGUUAAGUUGAAUGUGAAAUCCCCGGGCUCAACCUGGGAACUGCAUCCAAAACUGGCAAGCUAGAGUAUGGUAGAGGGUAGUGGAAUUUCCUGUGUAGCGGUGAAAUGCGUAGAUAUAGGAAGGAACACCAGUGGCGAAGGCGACUACCUGGACUGAUACUGACACUGAGGUGCGAAAGCGUGGGGAGCAAACAGGAUUAGAUACCCUGGUAGUCCACGCCGUAAACGAUGUCAACUAGCCGUUGGGAGUCUUGAACUCUUAGUGGCGCAGCUAACGCAUUAAGUUGACCGCCUGGGGAGUACGGCCGCAAGGUUAAAACUCAAAUGA